CCUACGGGUGGCAGCAGUGAGGAAUAUUGGUCAAUGGGCGCGAGCCUGAACCAGCCAAGUAGCGUGAAGGAUGACUGCCCUCCGGGUUGUAAACUUCUUUUAUAAAGGAAUAUAGUGAGGCACGUGUUCCUGUUUAUCUGUACUUUAUGAAUAAGGCUCUGCUAACUCCGUGCCAUCAGCCGCGGUAAUACGAAGGAUCCGCUCGUUGUCCGGAUUUGUUGGGUUUAAAGGGAGCGUAGAGGGGUUGUUAAUUCAGUUGUGAAAGGUUGCGGCUUAACUGUAAAAUUGCAAUUGAUACUGGCAGUCUUGAGUACAGUUGAGGUAGGCGGAAUUCGUGGUGGAGCGGUGAAAUGCUUAGAUAUUACGAAGAACUCCGAUUGCGAAGGCAGCUUACUAAACUGCCACUGACACUGAUGCUCGAAAGUGUGGGUAGCAAACAGGAUUAGAUACCCCAGUAGUC
rnacentral:rRNA from 1 species